rnacentral:rRNA from 1 species
AAACGACUCUCGGCAACGGAUAUCUUGGCUCUCGCAUCGAUGAAGAACGUAGCGAAAUGCGAUACUUGGUGUGAAUUGCAGAAUCCCGUGAACCAUCGAGUCUUUGAACGCAAGUUGCGCCCGAAGCCAUUUGGCUAAGGGCACGUCUGCCUGGGCGUCACGCAU